rnacentral:siRNA from 1 species
AAACUUGAUUUAUGAGGUGUCCA